rnacentral:rRNA from 1 species
CCCUGUUUAUCAAAAACAUGUCUUCUUGCUAUUGAUUUGAAGUCGUGCCUGCCCAGUGAGGAGUUUAACGGCCGCGGUAUUUUGACCGUGCAAAGGUAGCAUAAUCAUUAGUCUUUUAAUUGGGGGCUGGAAUGAAUGGUUUGACGAAACAAUAACUGUCUCAAUAUUAUUGAUUGAAUUUUAUUUUUAAGUUAAAAAGCUUAAAUGGGAAUGGGGGACGAGAAGACCCUAUAGAUCUUUAUAAUAUACUUAUAAUUAAAUUGUUGGUUGUUAUUUAUUUAAUUUUGAGUAUAUUAUUUCGUUGGGGUGAUGAGAGAAUAAAUAAGCUUCUAUUUUUUUAAACUAUGAUGAUUGGUUUAUAUGAUCCUAUGUUAUGGAAUUGAGAGUAAGAUACCUUAGGGAUAACAGCGUAAUUUUAUUGGAGAGUUCAUAUCGAUAAUAAAGAUUGCGACCUCGAUG